rnacentral:rRNA from 1 species
GAUGAACGCUGGCGGCGUGCCUAAUACAUGCAAGUCGAGCGAACGGACGAGAAGCUUGCUUCUCUGAUGUUAGCGGCGGACGGGUGAGUAACACGUGGAUAACCUACCUAUAAGACUGGGAUAACUUCGGGAAACCGGAGCUAAUACCGGAUAAUAUUUUGAACCGCAUGGUUCAAAAGUGAAAGACGGUCUUGCUGUCACUUAUAGAUGGAUCCGCGCUGCAUUAGCUAGUUGGUAAGGUAACGGCUUACCAAGGCAACGAUGCAUAGCCGACCUGAGAGGGUGAUCGGCCACACUGGAACUGAGACACGGUCCAGACUCCUACGGGAGGCAGCAGUAGGGAAUCUUCCGCAAUGGGCGAAAGCCUGACGGAGCAACGCCGCGUGAGUGAUGAAGGUCUUCGGAUCGUAAAACUCUGUUAUUAGGGAAGAACAUAUGUGUAAGUAACUGUGCACAUCUUGACGGUACCUAAUCAGAAAGCCACGGCUAACUACGUGCCAGCAGCCGCGGUAAUACGUAGGUGGCAAGCGUUAUCCGGAAUUAUUGGGCGUAAAGCGCGCGUAGGCGGUUUUUUAAGUCUGAUGUGAAAGCCCGCGGCUCAACCGUGGAGGGUCAUUGGAAACUGGAAAACUUGAGUGCAGAAGAGGAAAGUGGAAUUCCAUGUGUAGCGGUGAAAUGCGCAGAGAUAUGGAGGAACACCAGUGGCGUAGGCGACUUUCUGGUCUGUAACUGACGCUGAUGUGCGAAAGCGUGGGGAUCAAACAGGAUUAGAUACCCUGGUAGUCCACGCCGUAAACGAUGAGUGCUAAGUGUUAGGGGGUUUCCGCCCCUUAGUGCUGCAGCUAACGCAUUAAGCACUCCGCCUGGGGAGUACGACCGCAAGGUUGAAACUCAAAGGAAUUGACGGGGACCCGCACAAGCGGUGGAGCAUGUGGUUUAAUUCGAAGCAACGCGAAGAACCUUACCAAAUCUUGACAUCCUUUGACAACUCUAGAGAUAGAGCUUUCCCCUUCGGGGGACAAAGUGACAGGUGGUGCAUGGUUGUCGUCAGCUCGUGUCGUGAGAUGUUGGGUUAAGUCCCGCAACGAGCGCAACCCUUAAGCUUAGUUGCCAUCAUUAAGUUGGGCACUCUAAGUUGACUGCCGGUGACAAACCGGAGGAAGGUGGGGAUGACGUCAAAUCAUCAUGCCCCUUAUGAUUUGGGCUACACACGUGCUACAAUGGACAAUACAAAGGGCAGCGAAACCGUGAGGUCAAGCAAAUCCCAUAAAGUUGUUCUCAGUUCGGAUUGUAGUCUGCAACUCGACUACAUGAAGCUGGAAUCGCUAGUAAUCGUAGAUCAGCAUGCUACGGUGAAUACGUUCCCGGGUCU